rnacentral:rRNA from 1 species
UGGGGAAUAUUGGACAAUGGGCGAAAGCCUGAUCCAGCCAUGCCGCGUGUGUGAAGAAGGUCUUCGGAUUGUAAAGCACUUUAAGUUGGGAGGAAGGGCAGUAAGCGAAUACCUUGCUGUUUUGACGUUACCGACAGAAUAAGCACCGGCUAACUCUGUGCCAGCAGCCGCGGUAAUACAGAGGGUGCAAGCGUUAAUCGGAAUUACUGGGCGUAAAGCGCGCGUAGGUGGUUCGUUAAGUUGAAUGUGAAAGCCCCGGGCUCAACCUGGGAAUUGCAUUCGAUACUGGUUAGCUAGAGUGUGGGAGAGGAUGGUAGAAUUCCAGGUGUAGCGGUGAAAUGCGUAGAGAUCUGGAGGAAUACCGAUGGCGAAGGCAGCCAUCUGGCCUAACACUGACGCUGAGGUACGAAAGCAUGGGGAGCAAACAGG